UAAAUGCGAAAUGGCGACACGUUUCUAGGGGCAAGUUGAGCUUCAUACGGCAUAAUUUAUGCCACCAUAUUAUAUAUUCAUAUAUAUUCAGCUAAUUAAUAACCCACUUGGUAUCGCAUCUUUCUCUCCAUUAUUUCUUCCUUUCAUUUCAUCCAUAAUAAUAUAAUUAUUAUUAACUGCUUGAACCCUACUCCCACCUUCCACCUUCCAUUUCCCCUUUUCCAGAACUGCUUCCCCCCAGAUAACAGGUAUAAUAAAUAAAUAAAUAUAAGAUAGAAGGCAGAGAAUUGAAGAGGAGAGAAGAAAAGAGAAAACAAAAAACAAGUUGGGAAGUUGAAAAAAUAAGAAUGGGUUUCGUGGUGGUGGUAUCAUUGCCAUUGAUACUGUUGAUAUUGAUAGUGGCAUUAGCAUGUUAUCUAAUGGGUAGGGCCAAGGGUCGACAACAGGCAUGUGGAUAUCCUCAACAAUAUGGGCCACCAGCCCCUCCACCUCAGGCCCAAUACAAGCAACCGGAGCCCUAAACAUUCUGCUUCUUGCCCCAUUAACAAGUCCAAAAGAAAAAAACAACAAUGCUGCUUGGUCUCUCUUUUGUAUUAUUCUAUAUAUGUGAUAUGUUGUAUAGUUGAACUUAUUGUCUGCUGGAUAGUACAGUAAUCUUUGUUUAAUAAAUGAACUAAUUCAAAGAAGAAAACAAAGUAAAUAUUCAAGUUGCUACGUCUAUUUUAUAAGAGUUUAAUUUUGAUGUAAUGUAAAAUAUUUUAUACUAUUAUCUAUUUGCAUUUGUUCUUUUACAUAACUAUUUACGCCAUUAAUGAAAAGGUUUUUUUUC